rnacentral:antisense_RNA from 1 species
CUUGACCGAGCCCAGCAGCAGCGGCCGUUCGCGUUGCUGCCCGUAGGUGGCCAGCAGCGCCUGUGCCUC